AAUAAACCUAAUAAACAAUAUCCUCUCACUAUCUCGUACGAUGCAAAACACCGUCUCUCUCUCUUCUAUUUCUCUCAAUCCUUCUCCGGCGUCAUCGAUCUUCUCCGACCAUCGUCUACCUUCGCUGGAGUUUUGAGGCUGAAGAACAUAGGAUUGGAAGGAGAUAGGUAAUGGUUAGUUAGUUUAAUUUCAUUCAAUUGAUGGUCGAUUGAUUCAUAUGGUAUGUGAAAUAAGUGGGCUGAGUUUGUUUAUUUUAUGUGAAUUAAAUGGGUUCAUAUGAUUUGGUGAUGGGUUGAUGUGUUCUGUUGUUCUCUGAUUUCUUUGUCUUCGGGUUGGUUUCUCUUUUCACUAAGAUGGUGUCUUCUUUGAAAUAACUGAAUUGUUGGGUUUCAAAGGGUGUAAAUCAAGAGAUGGAGAAGCAAGACGAACAUGAGAACAAGAGGAUGAAGCUAAAAGAGAUGAAAGAAGAAAGGGAGCACAAGAGGAUGGAGAUUCAAGAGAGGCAAGAAGAGUUUAACAUAAUGAUGAUGAAUGUGAGUAGCUUAAGUGAAGAUCAAGCUGAGUAUAUUCAAAUCUUAAGGGCGGAAAUACUCAGUAAAAAGAAGAACUUGUAGCUCGGUAGAGUCUUGGAAGUAUUGAAGUAUCUUGGAAGUCUUUGAAGUCUUUGAAAUUUUGGAAGUCUUGGAAAUUUUGGAAGUUUUUGUUGGGACGUUUGUUUACUGUGUUUAUUGGAAGUAUGA